rnacentral:rRNA from 1 species
AUUGAACGCUGGCGGCAGGCCUAACACAUGCAAGUCGAGCGAGAGGCGGACGGGGGAGUAAUGCCUAGGAAUCUGCAUGGUAGUGGGGGAUAACGUUCGGAAACGGGCGCUAAUACCGCAUACCAUCGGCCGUGCCCAGAGGGGAUUAGCUAGUAGGUGGGGUAACGGCUCACUUAGGCGGCGAUCACUAGCUGGUCUGAGAGGAUGAGCAGCAAAACUGGAAGUGAGACACGGUCCAGGCGCCUACGGUAGGCAGCAGUGGGGAAUAUGGAACAAUGGGCGCAAGCCUGAUGCAGCCAUGCCGGGUGUAGGAAGAAGUCCUUCGGGUUGUAAAGUACUUUCAGCGGGGAGGCGUUACCCGAAGAAGAAGCACCGGCUAACUACGUGGCAGCCGCCGCGGUAAUAC